UCUGCCGCUGACAGACGGAGCCGCGACGCGACGCGUCCCUUGCACAUUGCCAGGGCAACGGGCCCGGCCCAUGAGCCCAUCCACCCACCAGCCCGCGAAGUUUGAAUGAUUUUUUGUGAAGCCUGAUAUCCUCUGGAAAUAUUUUGGGAACGAAAUUCAUGGAGUGGAGAUUGCAGAUCAUCCGAAGCCGCUGAAAAUUGCUAUCUCGCUAUUUUCUACUGAUAUUUAAGCGAGAACCUACACAAGAACACCUCUAAUUGUCAAGAAUUUCAUUGGAAUUCUAUUUGCGAGGUUUGCCAGCCCGAAACUUGGUCCGCAGCUUUGCAUUGCGGUCGACUUCCGUCUCCCGACUCGCAACAUCCCCAUACCCAUAGCCAUACCCAUACCCAUCCGCAUUGCCAUUUCCAUCCUAAGUCCCAUCCCCAUCCCCCCAGCCGAAACUCCAACGCUGCAAGGCAUUUUUUGGGCAACUACAAUGAAUGUACAUUUUAGGCAGAGACCCGGACCCGGACUCGGACCCGGACCCCGGCCCAGACCCCGGCACGGAUGCAACAGCAGAAGCAGCAGCAGCAGCCACCCCCCAGUUCCAGUACCAAGGCCCGGGGCGAUGAAAUUUGAUAAAUAUGCGUACAUAUUAGUUUCAGACCCACCCACGGAUGAGCGAGAGAUGAGAGCCAAAGCUCGAAAUAAAACUAAAAAACAGCCCCCGGGCGGAAAUUUUACUUAAAUUGCGCUUUAAAUUAAUUUUCCCCGGCCAAGGACGAGCCAGAACACCGCCCUUUCCCUGCGAUGAGUGGUGUCGAGUGCUGUGCCGAGAUUUCCGAACCUCCCAAAAGUGUGAUUAUGAAGCACUUCUGCAGGACAACUCGUAGGACUAAGACUAGCACCAGAACUUGGACUUGGACUAGCACUAAAACUUGGGCAAGGGACAAACAUGAUUGGGUUGGGUGUCUGGCACAAUAAACUGCUUAUGCAAAUGCAAAAUCAA